rnacentral:sRNA from 1 species
UUUCGCUUUGUCUCAAUGAUAUUUGAAACAUCUUUUCACAACUACAGCAAUGGUUCUUAAGCUUGCAAAGUUAUUGGGGAUUGUUGGAACAGGUGUUCUGAUUGGGAUAUACAUUGACCAGAACUACGAGGUACCCCGUGUCAACAAACAAUCAUGGGAUAACCUAAUGAAGAAAAUGGAUGACAUGAAGAAAGACAGUAAAAAGGACCAGUCCUGACACAUGUAGCAAUGCAUUUAUGUGAUUUUUGAUUUAUACAACUGUGAACUACAUUUUUGUACUGUUAAAAAAACCAAUAAAUAUAUACAUUCCUAACUGG